rnacentral:misc_RNA from 1 species
AACGCAACUUGCGCUCCUUGGUAUUCCAUGGAGCACGCCUGUUUCAGUAUCAAAACAAACCCUCUACCGCUCUGCUCUUGUAGAGACAGUAGGAACAUUGGAAGUCUCCCGCGAGCCCUUGGGUUCAACGGACGCCUCUGAAAUUUAUUUAGGCUUGAGCAUGGUUCAUUAUGCCGAAACUUUUUUUUAAUAUAAAGAAAAGUUCAAGCGACCGAGCCGCUGUAAGAGCCUCCCAAAUAAAAUUUUUUAAAUUUGAUCUGAAAUCAGGCGGGAUUACCCGCUGAACUUAA